GACGAACGCUGGCGGCGUGCUUAACACAUGCAAGUCGAACGGAAAGGCCCUGCUUUUGUUGGGUUCUCGAUUGGCGAACGGGUGAGUAACACGUGAGUAUCCUCCCCUUAUCUUUGUGAUAACUUCAGGAAACUGGGGCUAAUACCGCAUAGGAGCUCCUGCUCCAUGUUGGGGGUUGGAAAGUUUCGGCGGUUGGGGAUGGACUCGCGGCUUACCAGCUUCUUGGUGGGGUAGUGGCUUACCAAGCCUUUGACGGGUAGCCGGCAUGAGAGGGUGACCGGGCACAUUGGGACUGAGAGAGGGCGCAGACGGGAACGGGAGGCAGCAGGGGGGAGUAUGGCACAGUGGGGGGAAGCCUGAUGCAGCAACGCUGCGUGCGGGAUGACGUCCUUCGGGUGGUAAACAGAUGUCGCAGGAGACGAAGCGGGAGUGACGGUAAUGGGUAAAGAAGCAACGGCUAACUACGUG
rnacentral:rRNA from 1 species